GCCAACAACAACUGAAUCUGCCUGGGAAACGUAUUUACAACCAACCAACCAGUUAAUCAAGUGAGGCAUUUGCAGACAUUGUGGUGGGAAAUUAUUUCAGCACUCUAACAUUACGCUUGUUUUUGCCAAAACAACAAUACCAAAAAAAGAUCACCAGAGUUUUCUGAAUAAUAAAGCAUAAAUCAGGCGGUGGGAAACGAGAGGGAGAAAUAUUCAUAAUCAGAGGUUUCAUCCUGGUGGAUUGCUUUCUCCUUGGAAAAUAAAUCUCCACCUGCUAUUAUUAAGAAACUGCUGCUCUCGGAAACAAAUAGAAUCAAUGUACUUUAUUUUCGUUUAAGAGUCUUAGAGAAGCAAAGUUGGGGGGGGGUAAGGCGGCAACGGGGGAGGGGUACUGAUAGACAGGGUAUUAAACACACCGAAUUGGAUUUUACCAGGACAGUCGAACUGAGAUUCCUAUUGUAUUGAAUUAUCGCCUCUUCUGUCUGGUUGGGAUCUCAGACAGGCAACACUUAGAGUUGCAGACAGCUCCAGUGACAAUGAGUAAACUUGGAGCAGCUACUCAGGUCCCAACGCACUGUUCCUAGAAGGGUCUUCUCCUUGGAAGGACAGGAUCCGGUCCACUUGCAGUCCCCAACCGUUCUUCUCAGCGUGAUUUCCCCCUCCCCGCCCCCGCCACACACACACCCGCACAGACACUUUUCCCGGUCUUGGGGAGACAGCUGUCGGGAUGGCUUGAGAAAGCGGGCCGUCCUGGAAAGCUGUUCAGCGAGAGGAAAGAAGAAACGAAGACGGGAGCGCCAAGCUCAGAGGCCAGGAGUCAGAGUCCGACCCAGGACAGAAGUUUCCCAGUCAUGUCUGGAAAGAAGGCGCUCUUUGCAACUUGACAGUCAUCAGUCUGCAGUCUGGAUGGAGAGGAGUGUUUCCUUCCAAUCAGAUAAGGAAUGCAGAGUGAUAGAAGAGGGAGAACUCCCAGCUGCCUGCUCUGGGGAGAGUGUUCUAUAGCUGCGCUGGAGGGGACAGCUCCCGAGGAACAAGGAGCCCUCUGGGAAACCUGGGGAAAAGCUCCAAGAAUGUUUUAGGAAGGGCCUAUCUAACCCAAAGAGAACAUCUCUCUCUAAGUGAACCCCAAAAGGGUAACAUUCAAUAAAUAAUUCCCUUAACCCCAACAUAAAAAGAAGGUGACCUUUCUCCUUUUGGCAAAUUCUGAUUACAUAUGCGUAUUGAUUCCCCAUGGAAUGGAAGUUAGAUUGGGAUUCCUUGUGGGUCUGAAAGGACAAGGAGAACAAUUGUUUCUUCUCCAAGAGAGAUGGGCAAACAUCACUGGUACUGCAAGCUUCAUUACUGUAUCCAAUCUCAGCUCAGGCAUCUCUUCAAUAUUCCUAAGCAGAUCAUCAAUAUUUUCCACAGAAAGGAUCACAGACCCUUUAGACCCACAGAGCUGGAAGGGACCUCAAAGGUCAUUUAGCCUAACAUUUUACAGAUGAGGGGUGAUGUGGGGUUCAGGGAGGUGAGUGACUCAUCCAAGGUCACAUAGCUACCAAGUGUCAGAGGAAAGAUUUGAACAGAGGUCCCCUCCCUCCAGUCAAUGCUCUUUCAUGUGCACCAUGCUGUGCAGGUGAAGAUGGGAAUGGAAGGAUUGGAAUGAAGAUGGGGGUAGAGAGGGAAGCUUGAA